UACGUAGGGUGCAAGCGUUGUCCGGAAUUAUUGGGCGUAAAGAGCUCGUAGGCGGUUUGUCGCGUCUGCUGUGAAAACUCGGGGCUUAACCCCGGGCCUGCAGUGGGUACGGGCAGACUAGAGUGCGGUAGGGGAGACUGGAAUUCCUGGUGUAGCGGUGAAAUGCGCAGAUAUCAGGAGGAACACCGGUGGCGAAGGCGGGUCUCUGGGCCGUAACUGACGCUGAGGCGCGAAAGCCAGGGGAGCGAACGGG
rnacentral:rRNA from 1 species